ACUUUUUGAAACUUUAGUCAACUUCAGUAUCGUCGCGAAGGCAGGCAUCAGUCUUUGCAAAACUUUUUUAAUGGCGACAGUGUUUUGUUACUAAUAGUGAUUGUUUUUUGUGCAUAAGAAUCAAAUUGGAUUAGUGACUGUUCUACAUAGGAAUUUGAGAAAGUUUUGAAUAGAAUGGAGGUGGAACCUCGGGUGGCCAUUUUGCAGGACCUCAGACUACAGUCGUUUGACGCAAUAAGGUUUGCAUCGUACAGAACCGCAUCAAAAUUGCGGUACAUUCAAAAAUCGACAAAUCUUCACCUUGUCGACAUAUGGAACGUCAUCGAGGCAUUCCGGGAGAAUGGUCUGAAUACGCUCGAACCGCAAAGUGAAGUUAGCGUGGCACGACUGGAAACGUUGGUGUCGUCAUUAUACCACAAUUUAAACAAACGUCUUCCGACAAGAGAUCAAGUUCCUGUCGAUUCUAAAGCUGGACUUUUAUUAAAUUGGCUGAUAUCUGCUUAUUCGAAUGACAAUUCUGGCAAAAUUCGUGUGUUCUCCAUCAAAGUAGCAUUGGCAAUUAUGUGUUCCGGUAAACUUGUAGAUAAACUAAGGUACAUAUUCUCCCAAAUUUCCGAUGGUGCCGGUCAACUUGUACAAUGGAAGCUCUGUGAGUUUCUACGAGAAAUUCUGGCACUUCCGGCUGCUGUAUAUGAAUCGCCGACUUUCCAUUACAAAGACGGACUGGAGAGUGAAAUGUUUUCGUUGGACUCACGUGUAACCGUAAAUGAUUUCAUCGGUGUUCUAGUGAAUGAACCAGGACCUCCAAAUUUGGUCUGGCUUCCUCUGUUACAACGGCUGGCAACCGUUGAAUCGAUAGUCCAUCCAAUUAUAUGCUCUGUAUGCCACAAAGAAAAUUUCUCAGGUUUCCGUUACCGUUGUACGCGUUGCAAUUCUUACCAAUUAUGUCAAGAGUGUUUCUGGCACGGACGAGUUUCACUCAGCCAUCAGAAUGAUCACGAAGUGAAGGAAUAUACGAGUUAUAAAUCACCAACCAAACAAAUCGGACAUUCGUUACGCAAGAGUUUUCGAUGCGUACCAGAGAAGUCGAACCAUGUGCUUCCUAGGUUUCCAGAGCAGCCAGAAAAGACAUUAAACCUAUCGCAUAUUGUUCCUCCGUCUCCACUUCCAUCGCAUAACGGAUUCGAAUCGGGAUUGCUAGCACCAUUCGACCGAAGUAGUACACUGGAUUCGCGAGCAACCGGCCGUUCAUUAGACAGUGCAGGCGCUUCACUAAAUCGAGCUAGCACUUCCAACGAUGAAGAACACCGUUUAAUUGCUCGAUAUGCUGCACGCUUGGCUCAAGAGAGUCGAACUCCAGCGUCAUCAUCCGAAAAUGCUUCCCUGGCACCAGACAAUUCACAGGCUCAGCGUCAACUGAUAGCCCAACUAGAAUCAAAGAACAAGGAGAUUAUGAGAGAAAUUGCGCGUUUGAGACGGCAACAAGAAGCAGAACAAUUGAAUCAAGAAAGUCCAGCGUUAAUGAAUGAACUGCGUGCAUUAAGACAACGAAAGGGUGAAUUGGAGGGACACUUGGGUGCUUUGCAAGACUCGAGACGACAAUUAAUGGUGCAAUUAGAAGGUCUGAUGCGCAUGCUCAAAAGUCAACAGACAUCAAGUCCCCGAUCAACACCGAAUUCUAGUCCUCGUUCCGGAAAAAGUCCUCCAAUGCCGCAAGGACCCCAACAACAACAACAGAUUAGAAACCAAAUGCCACCACAUUCGGGACAAAUUUCACAGGGAACUAGUAAUCAUUCUGAUCAAACCAGUGGUGGCUUUGCUCCUCAAAAUGGAAGUGUGAGAGGACGAGGUGACCUGCAUUUUGCUGCCGAUUCAGUUACAUCCGCAAUGUCAACGCUGGUCAGAGAACUUAAUUCCGGAGAAUCGGACGAAGAAACUUCGAACAAUGUGCGGAAACAAAUAGUUGAACCAUUGAACCAACACAACCCGGCCAUAUAAAUAAUUUCAACUCAAUUUUCCAUUCAAUUUUAGACUUUGAGGAGUCGAAGGGAUUACAACAAGACUGGAACGAUAUGGGCAACGCCAACACACAAUGGCAAGAGCAAUUCGCUCAAUGGAAUAUAAAUAAUCAAAAUUAAAAAGCUAUUGAGUAUAGAUGAUGAGUGAAACGAAAUGUUAAGUAUUUGCAGUUAGAAGUUGGUUUUUGUCUUAAUUUUGUCAAAGUUAGUGAAGCAUAUGUUCUGUUGUCUAGUUUGGUAGGCGAAAAUUUGCAUUUAGAAUGUUUUAUAAAAUGAAAAAAAAAUAAUCAAAUUUUAAAUGUUACAUCCGUUAAAUUGACAUCGAAAGCGACGAGUUGUUAAUCCGUUGAUGUGCGAUAAUCUUUUGAUCAUCACUGUGUUAGCGUGAAAAAUUCAACGAAUAAAUUGAUGUUUUCGAAUUUUGAUUCAUUGUGCAAUUUCCAUGCAUUAACGAUUAGGCUGAGAGGCAGUGUGUGAAUUAGCCCCUUGUACGUUUACGGUUUGAAGUCGAUUUUCUGUUUGAGUCUUAACUCAAUUCGAAAAACAUUUGUUCUACCAGUUUUGAGUAUCUUAGCACUCAUACAUUGUAGAAAAUUGACAUGAAAUUGAAGGUAUUGAUCACAAAUGACAAUUGAAA